GGAAUAUUGCACAAUGGGCGCAAGCCUGAUGCAGCCAUGCCGCGUGUAUGAAGAAGGCCUUCGGGUUGUAAAGUACUUUCAGCGAGGAGGAAGGCAUUGUGGUUAAUAACCACAGUGAUUGACGUUACUCGCAGAAGAAGCACCGGCUAACUCCGUGCCAGCAGCCGCGGUAAUACGGAGGGUGCAAGCGUUAAUCGGAAUUACUGGGCGUAAAGCGCACGCAGGCGGUCUGUCAAGUCGGAUGUGAAAUCCCCGGGCUCAACCUGGGAACUGCAUUCGAAACUGGCAGGCUAGAGUCUUGUAGAGGGGGGUAGAAUUCCAGGUGUAGCGGUGAAAUGCGUAGAGAUCUGGAGGAAUACCGGUGGCGAAGGCGGCCCCCUGGACAAAGACUGACGCUCAGGUGCGAAAGCGUGGGGAGCAAACAGGAUUAGAUACCCCGG
rnacentral:rRNA from 1 species